AAUGAACGUUGGCGGCGUGGAUUAGGCAUGCAAGUCGAGCGAGAACCCGCAAGGGGGGACAGCGGCGAACGGGGUAGGACAACGUAGGUAACGUACCCUCGGGGCGAGGACAGCCACGGGAAACUGUGGGUAAUACUCGAUAAACUUCCCAAUCAUUAUGGAAGGGGAAGCAAUAGGUGUGAUUCCACCUGAGGAGCGGCUUACGCAGUAUCAGCUAGUUGGUGAGGUAACGGCUCACCAAGGCUACGACGCUUAGGGGGGUGUGAGAGCAUGGCCCCCACCACUGGCACUGAGACACUGGCCAGACACCUACGGGUGGCUGCAGUCGAGAAUCUUCGGCAAUGGACGCAAGUCUGACCGAGCGACGCCGCGUGCGGGAUGAAGGCCUUGGUUGUAACCGCUGUCAGAGGGAGUGAAGUGUACGGGAGUUCUCUCCUGUAUUUG
rnacentral:rRNA from 1 species